rnacentral:rRNA from 1 species
GAGUUUGAUCCUGGCUCAGGAUGAACGCUAGCGGCACGCUUCAUACAUGCAAGUCGAGGGGCAGCAUAAAGUACUUGUACUUUGAUGGCGACCGGCGAACGGGUGCGUAACGCGUAUGCAACUUACCUUUUACUAGAGAAUAGCCAAGAGAAAUUUUGAUUAAUGCUCUAUACUCUUUUUAACUCACAUGAGAUUUUAAGAAAAGCUCCGGCGGUAAAAGAUGGGCAUGCGUCCUAUUAGCUUGUAGGUGAGGUAACGGCUCACCUAAGCUCCGAUAGGUAGGGGUCCUGAGAGGGAGAUCCCCCACACUGGUACUGAGACACGGACCAGACUUCUACGGAAGGCAGCAGUAAGGAAUAUUGGACAAUGGAGGAAGCUCUGAUCCAGCGAUGCCGCGUGAAGGAAGACGGCCCUAUGGGUUGUAAACUUCUUUUAUACAGGAAGAAACCUUUUCACGUGUGGAAAGCUGACGGUACUGUAAGAAUAAGGAUCGGCUAACUCCGUGCCAGCAGCCGCGGUAAUACGGAGGAUCCAAGCGUUAUCCGGAAUUAUUGGGUUUAAAGGGUCCGCAGGCUGUUUGUUAAGUCAGGGGUGAAAUCCUACCGCUCAACGGUAGAACUGCCUUUGAUACUGGCAAACUUGAGUUAUUGUGAAGUAGUUAGAAUGUGUAGUGUAGCGGUGAAAUGCAUAGAUAUUACACAGAAUACCAAUUGCGAAAGCAGAUUACUAACAAUUAACUGACGCUGAGGGACGAAAGCGUGGGUAGCGAACAGGAUUAGAUACCCUGGUAGUCCACGCCGUAAACGAUGGUCACUAGCUGUUCGAUGUACAUUGGUACAUUGAGUGGCUAAGCGAAAGUGAUAA